rnacentral:tRNA from 1 species
GCAGAUGGCCAGGGUGAAACAGAUUGGUUGAGACUUUGGCUUAUUUUCAGAGACAAUUUCGCCCAUGUGUGAACGGUUCGUGUGAACCGUCACUGAUGGGCAUCUGACUACGGAUCAGAAGGUUUGAGGUUCGAGUCCUCAUGGCUGCGCCA